rnacentral:rRNA from 1 species
CCAGACUCCUACGGGAGGCAGCAGUGAGGAAUAUUGGUCAAUGGGCGCGAGCCUGAACCAGCCAAGUAGCGUGAAGGAUGACUGCCCUACGGGUUGUAAACUUCUUUUAUAAAGGAAUAAAGUGAGGCACGUGUGCCUUUUUGUAUGUACUUUAUGAAUAAGCAUCGGCUAACUCCGUGCCAGCAGCCGCGGUAAUACGGAGGAUGCGAGCGUUAUCCGGAUUUAUUGGGUUUAAAGGGUGCGUAGGCGGGAUGCCAAGUCAGGGGUAAAAUGGGGGGGCCCAACCUGCGCCCGCCGUUGAAACUGGCGUUCUUGAGUGGGCGAGAAGUACGCGGAAUGCGUGGUGUAGCGGUGAAAUGCAUAGAUAUCACGCAGAACCCCGAUUGCGAAGGCAGCGUACCGGCGCCCAACUGACGCUGAAGCACGAAAGCGUGGGUAUCGAACAGGAUUAGAUACCCUGGUA